CUCAGGAACAUCAUCAGGUGGAAAGUCAGAAAUUGAGCUCUCUCCAAUCAUAGUUUCUGAAGGAUCAAACUGAGAAUUCGGAGGAUGCAUAACAGAAUCAACACAGCAGGUUGAAAGAAUAUGAAUCAUCACAACCAUUGGAAACUGCAACCCCUGCAAGCAAAGAAUCAGGGAUGGCCACUUGGAAGGGUUUCACUACUAGUGAGCUCCUACUCUCAUCUACAACAUCGGUAGGCUGGACAGCAUGAACUGCAUAAGGGAGUUUUGAAGGGAUUGAGCCAGGUAUUCCAUCUUUAGCUUUACAUUUAGUCUUGGGUUGAAACUUGGCACCACCUCGAGCUGCCAAAAAUAUUGAAUAUUUAAUUUAAACACCCAAAAAACAAACCCAACUUUUUUUUUUCCGAAAGAAGAAGAAAAUGCAAUAUCUUUUCUUGUGUCAGAAGUGGCUCAUCGAAAAUAAUAUCAGAAUCGUCCAUAUCAAAAUCUGGUGGUUAAUUGACGCUCCGCCGAUAAUGGCCGGCUUUGGGUGGUGGUUGCUGGGUUGUGAAGGGUGGACAGUUUGUGUCUUCGUCCUUCCGUUACUACUGGGAAAAGCGAAUAAAGGAAAAAAAAAUCGAAAGGAAAAUGGGAAG